GGGGGGUGGGCGAGCUACCAUGCAGUCGGGCGGUAACAGGAAAGCGCUUGCGCUUUUGCUGACGAGCGGCGGACGGGUGAGAAAUGUCUGGGGAUCUGCCCGAGGGCGGGGGAUAACCACUGGAAACGGUGGCUAAUACCGCAUAAUGUCGCAAGACCAAAGUGGGGGACCUGAAAGGGCCUCACGCCGUCGGAUGAACCCAGAUGGGAUUAGCUGGUAGGUAGGGUAAUGGCCUACCUAGGCGACGAUCCCUAGCUGGUCUGAGAGGAUGACCAGCCACACUGGGACUGAGACACGGCCCAGACUCCUACGGGAGGCAGCAGUGGGGAAUAUUGCACAAUGGGCGCAAGCCUGAUGCAGCCAUGCCGCGUGUAUGAAGAAGGCCUUCGGGUUGUAAAGUACUUUCAGCGGGGAGGAAGGGUUGAGCCUGAACAGGGCUGGGCCUUGACGUUACCCGCAGAAGAAGCACCGGCUAACUCCGUGCCAGCAGGCGGGGUAGUACGGAGGGUGCGAAC
rnacentral:rRNA from 1 species